GUCUACGAUCAUGCUACCCUGAACAAGCCCAAUCCCGUCUGAUCUCGGAAGCUAAGCAGGGUCAGGCCUGGUUAGUACUUGGAUGGGAAACCACCUACGAAGACCAGGUGCUUGCUGUAG
rnacentral:rRNA from 1 species